AUUGAACGCUGGCGGCGUGCCUAAUACAUGCAAGUCGAACGCAGUGGGGACGGGUGAGUAACACGUUGGUAACCUCCCAUCAGAGGGGAUAACACUUGGAAACAGGUGCUAAACCGCUACUGAUGGUUGGACCCGAGGUGCAUGAGCUAGUGGGGGGGGGAACGGCGCAAAAAGGCCACGAGGCCUAGCGGUCCUGAGAGGAGGAUCAGCCACACGGGAACUGAGACACGGUCCAGACUCCUACGGGAGGGAGCAGUGGGGAAUCUUGGGCAAUGGACGAAAGCCUGACCGAGCAACGCCGCGUGCGUGAAGAAGGUUUUCGGAUCGUAAAGCUCUGUUAUUGAGGAAGCGGUAUCGAAACAGAAAGCAACGGCUAACUACGUGCCAGCAGCCGCGGUAAUAC
rnacentral:rRNA from 1 species